rnacentral:misc_RNA from 1 species
CCAAUAGCGUAUAUUAAAGUUGUUGCAGUUAAAAAGCUCGUAGUUGAAUUUCGGGGUUAGUAAGUUGGUUGUGCCACUGGUAUGUACUGGCUUUACUGAUUCCUCCUUCUUGUAGAACCGUAAUGCCAUUAAGUUGGUGUUGCGGGGAAACAGGACUGUUACUUUGAAAAAAUUAGAGUGUUUAAAGCAAGCUAACGCUUGAAUACAUUAGCAUGGAAUAAUGAAAUAGGACGUUCGAUCCUAUUUUGUUGGUUUCUAGGAUUGACGUAAUGAUUAAUAGGGAUAGUUGGGGGAAUUAGUAUUCAAUUGUCAGAGGUGAAAUUCUUGGAUUUAUUGAAGACUAACUACUGCGAAAGCAUUUGCCAAGGAUGUUUUCAUUAAUCAAGAACGAAAGUUAGGGGAUCGAAGACGAUCAGAUACCGUCGUAGUCUUAACCAUAAACUAUGCCGACUAGGGAUCGGAUGAUGUUAAUUUUAUAAUGACUCAUUCGGCGCCUUACG